CAUCUGAUUGUGAUGAGAUGCUACAACAUGCAGCAGAAAGGAAUUUUUUGACAAAAUCACAAGCCCCUUAAAAAAAGAAUGUAGAUGGGAAUAAAUUCUUAAACUUAACCAGAAUGGAAUGCUACUGCACCAUCAUUAAUAACCAUAUAAAUGAUGUAGACGCUGAAAAGUUAUUUUGCAUUACCUCCCUCCCAUUCACACACAUACAAUGGGGUCCAAAGUCCACUUAAGUUAAUGAUGUUAAAGUCCAUUUAAGUUUCCAAUGAGUUCAGCAUGAUUUGGAUUAGGCCCAAAUAUAAAAACAGAUUUACAUCUGUGUGUGUGUCUCCCUCAUAGGUCUACGUAUUUUUAUAUAUGAAUUAAUGGUAGUUUUUUUCCUUGAAGGUUUUAUCUUCUCUUUUCCCCAUUUUUUCUCUCUCAGACUUCUUUUCUUAAGAGUUCCCUGCUAAAUGCUCCACAGGAAGAUAUAAAAACUUACUGUGUUCCAUGGAUGCCAUUCCUAACCCAGCUGACAAAACAGCAAUUAAUUCUCUACCAGCAUACUGCACUUUGCCAUAUUCCUGAAGGCCUCAAUAUGAAAUACUCAUUCUGAAAUGUUAGUAAAACAAAAAGGGAUUUGUACCUCUGCUGGCUGAGAAACCUGGCUACUAUAUCACUGGCUUUUAGUUCUUCCGUCAGCUGUAUUGCCAUGGAAACUUUCGAAAGAUGAGGCGCUUGCACCCGUAUCACUCCCUGAGGAACAUCAGCCUGCAAAGCAAUAAUGAAAUUGGAACAAAGCUGCUAGCAGCUGGCUUUGAUGAGUUUCUCCAAAUACUGCAUGGAAUAAGUAAUUUAGUACAAUGCUCUAAAUCAGCUGUCAAUAAACAGAAUCAAGCAGCAUGAAGCCAAGGUGCUAAUUAAAAUGCAACUGAGAGGGUGACCUAGUCAGAGGGCUAAGUCACGAACAGGAAGCCAUAGUUCCUGGAGCAAGAGGGGCCACAUCAUGAGACAACAGGUGGAGAGAUUCCAGGUGCUGCACUCUCCUCUGCCAAAGAGCUAAGAUGCCUGUGUUGCAGAGAGGCCAGAAAAACAGGUAUCUCUAGUGAUGAUCUUUGUAAGAGCAGAUGUGAAGAAGUUUGCAGUGCUGCAGCCUGUGUGCUAAACUUGUUCUGUGCCAUAAUCCGAGGCCAUCAGUUUACAUGUCAAUCUGAUCCCUUUCCCAUGCACUAAUUUUUCUCCUAGGGGCAGGCAGAGAAAAAUAAAUUAAAAAAAAAAUCC